rnacentral:rRNA from 1 species
AUUGAACGCUGGCGGCAGGCCUAACACAUGCAAGUCGAACGAGUGGCGGACGGGUGAGUAAGGGCUGGGAAACUGCCUGAUGUAGGGGUAUAACUACGGGAAACGGUAGCUAAUACCGCAUACGAUCGGAUGUGCUCAGAGGGGAUGAGCGAGGGGGUGGGGUAAAGGCUGACCUAGGCGACGAUGCAUAGCAGGUCUGAGAGGAUGACCGGCCACACUGGGACUGAGACACGGCCCAGACUCCUACGGGAGGCAGCAGUGGGGAAUAUUGCACAAUGGGCGAAAGCCUGAUGCAGCCACGCCGCGUGUAUGAAGAAGGCCUUCGGAUUGUAAAGUACUUUCAGCGGGGAGGCGUUACCCGCAGAAGAAGCACCGGCUAACUCCGUGCCAGCAGCCGCGGUAAUAC